rnacentral:lncRNA from 1 species
UGUUAGGCCAUGAGCAGACCUUCCCCCUUUCAGGAAUGUAAACUGUGUUUGUGUUGUCCAUGAAACACAGCACACAGUGCAAAUACAGCGAGAGCAGAUGGUGAGAGUUUUCAAAGGCAUUUGAAACUUAGCCUGAACUAAUGUCCUCGGGAGUUUGGUGCAGAGUGGAAACUUUUUUUUCUACUUGGGAACUAUUUCAGCAUUCAGUCUGAUAAUUGGAACUCAGAGCAUAGAUGAAUGCUACAACAUUUUUGCUACUUUACUGGAUUUUCCUGUCUCUCCUGGUCUUCUGUUCUGCUGCUUCUGGAGAACACAAAAUCAUCACAGCUGAGUCUGGACAGAACAUCACUCUGACAUGUCGAGCUCCAAACAACAACAACAUAUUUGUGGAGUGGAGAAGAGCUGACCUGGAUGAGUAUGUCUUUUUGUACAGCGAUGAGGGGUCUGUACUUGAAGACCAGCAUCCAUCUUUUAAGAACCGGGUGGAUCUGCAGGACAGACAGAUGAAGGAUGGAGACGUGUCUUUGAUUCUGAAGCAUGUGAUGAUUGCUGACAGUGGGACAUAUGAGUGCCGUGUCAUCCAGAGAGGAUACAGCCACAAGAAGGCCGUCAUUAAGAACAAGCCUAUCUGUAUCAUGGACCUGAGUGUUGAUCCUGCAGGUCAAUCAAGAAGAAAUGAAGAAGAUGGAUCUAUUGGAUGGAAAGUUGCUCUGUCAAUUUUCUGUCUACUUCUUGUUGCUGCUGUUGCUGUUUUUAUGUACAGAAAAUGUUAA